CCUACGGGAGGCAGCAGUGAGGAAUUUUCCGCAAUGGGCGAAAGCCUGACGGAGCAAUGCCGCGUGGAGGAGGAAGGCCUGUGGGUCGUAAACUCCUUUUCUCAGAGAAGAAGUUCUGACGGUAUCUGAGGAAUAAGCAUCGGCUAACUCUGUGCCAGCAGCCGCGGUAAUACAGGGGAUGCAAGCGUUAUCCGGAAUUAUUGGGCGUAAAGCGUCCUGAGGUGGCUUACCCAGUCGACUGUGAAAGCUCAAGGCUUAACCUUGAAACGGCAGUCGAAACUUGUAAGCUUGAGUACGGUAGGGGCAGAGGGAAUUCCCGGAGGAGAGGUGAAAUUCGUAGAUAUCGGGAGGAAGGCCAAAGGCGAAAGCACUCUGCUGGGCCGAUUACUGACACUGACAGACGAAAGCUAGGGGAGCGAAAGGGAUUAGAUACCCCUGUAGUCCUAGCCGUAAACGAUGGAUACUAAGUGUUGCGCGACUCAAAACGUGCAGUGCUGCAGCUAACGCGGUAAGUAUCCCGCCUGGGGAGUAUGCCCGCAAGGGUGAAACGUUAAAGAGUAAGUAGGACGNGAGAGCGAGCCGAGCACGGAGAGGGAG
rnacentral:rRNA from 1 species